UACUCAAGACAACCUGCCUCACCCUAUCCAUCUGAUCAUUCACCUUGUAAGGCUCACCAGACCAUGAGCUCUGGAAGGCAUGCAGCUUCCAGCUGGAUGGCUCUUCCCAGCCUCCCUUGCAGCUCAGCGGCAUGGAUGCUUCGCCAAUGGAUGUUUAACUGUAACAAGACGAUGUUCUGGGCCUUGAAGUCCUGAAGUCACAUGGGCCUAUUUCUAUUGGCAAGAUAAAAUACAGAUCACAAUAAAAUAAGGGUGGAUUGGGGCACUCAGGUCAGGGGAUUUCCUAUCCUUUUUCUUACUCAGGAACUCUCAAGGAUGACAAAGGAGCUGUCUGAGUUAACAACUUU